rnacentral:lncRNA from 1 species
CUGCCCUCUGGGUUCCCAUGGGUUUUGGCCAGUGUUGUCAGACAGCCGGUCGUCAGGGGGCGGGGAAGAGACCUGCUCCCUCCUCUGCCCCCCAGGCCUGAGGUCACGCUGCUACUGUUGGACUUCCUUAUCUUUCUUUCCCUUCGUUGCUGGGUCUGCAGCCCUGCCGCACCUCCGUAAAUGGCUCCUGGCACCCUUCCUCCCUCCCUCUCCUCCCUGCCGGGCCAUCUCUUUCCCGCCAGACCUCUGACUCAUCUAGAUGGGCUUGGAGAUUGUGCCAGGCCCUGGCUGACGCUUCAAGGCCUGGAUGGGUGCCGUCGCUUCUCUGGACAGCAGCUCAAAGGGGAGGCAGGAAGGAGGCAGACCAGGCCCCCCCUGGAUGGAGAGGCGGCGGAAAGGCUCCGAGUCUGGAGGCGGCUGUCUCAUGUCGGCCCAUUAAUUUUUAAACCCGGUCACGUCGGUGGCCAGCCCUGAGCUGUGCCCCUUUCAGACCAUCAGGUAGAUUAGGCCUGAGUUCUUGCAACCGAGGACGGCCCGGAGCAUCCUAGAACAGAGCAGAGUUCUCGGCUCCCGGGAGGAAGAAGUUUCCCGACCUGCAAGUGAAUUGGUGCGUCAGAGUGGGGAUCCUUGCGGCCGUUUGGCCCUGGCAGGAAGCGCCCGCUGGGAUCGUGGCUUUUGAUCCUACUCCGCCUGGGAGGUCGAGAGAGAGCAGCCCGGGUACCAAGCUGCCAGCUUCCGAGUGGGGAAACCGAGCCUUGUCCAGAUGGAGUUUUCCCCUGAGAGGCUUUCUCUAAAAGUCACCUGGGGGCCUGCAGGGGGUCAGUGUGGAGGCACGCCCCCAACCCCACGCAGGGAGGCCGACGUCCUCAGUGGUCCCACAAACGCAGAAGCUCCAGGAUGGCGGCUGCAGCAGGCCCAGACCGUUCUCGUUAUGGCCAGAUAGAGCCCUGUGAAAUUGUAAUACUGACAACGUCAUUUAUUUCAGCAGCAUCGGGACAAAACGGCUUUAUAAUGGUGUUUUACGCGAUACAUGUGCGCCAUAAAUAUUUCCAUAAAACAUGCAUUAAAAUAUAAAAGUGGGCCCCAAGAUAUCAAAAUUGGGAGGGAGGAAACCCACAGCAAAGCCUCGUGAUGGGGGGGCUCCCCU